GAUGAACGCUAGCGGCAGGCCUAAUACAUGCAAAUCGAACGGGUGGUCGCAAGACCACUAGUGGCGCACGGGUGCGUAACGCGUAACCAACCUGCCCCGAUCUGGGGGAUAGCCCGCCGAAAGGCGGAUUAAUACCGCAUAUACCCGCAGCCUGGCAUCAGGCAACGGGGAAAGAUUUAUUGGAUCGGGAUGGGGUUGCGUGACAUUAGCUAGUUGGCGGGGUAAGGGCCCACCAAGGCGACGAUGUCUAGGGGACCUGAGAGGGUGAUCCCCCACACUGGCACUGAGAUACGGGCCAGACUCCUACGGGAGGCAGCAGUAGGGAAUAUUGGGCAAUGGGCGAGAGCCUGACCCAGCCAUGCCGCGUGCCGGAUGAAGGCCUUCUGGGUUGUAAACGGCUUUUCUCAGGGAAGAAAAAGACCUUGCGAGGUACACUGACGGUACCUGAGGAAUAAGCACCGGCUAACUCCGUG
rnacentral:rRNA from 1 species